GUGGGGGAUAUUGCGCAAUGGGGGCAACCCUGACGCAGCAACGCCGCGUGAAGGAUGAAGGUUUUCGGAUUGUAAACUUCUUUUAUUAAGGACGAAAAAUGACGGUACUUAAUGAAUAAGCUCCGGCUAACUACGUGCCAGCAGCCGCGGUAAUACGUAGGGAGCAAGCGUUGUCCGGAUUUACUGGGUGUAAAGGGUGCGUAGGCGGCUUUGCAAGUCAGAUGUGAAAUCUAUGGGCUCAACCCAUAAACUGCAUUUGAAACUGUAGAGCUUGAGUGAAGUAGAGGCAGGCGGAAUUCCCCGUGUAGCGGUGAAAUGCGUAGAGAUGGGGAGGAACACCAGUGGCGAAGGCGGCCUGCUGGGCUUUAACUGACGCUGAGGCACGAAAGCGUGGGUAGCAAACAGGAUUAGAUACCCGAGUAGUCC
rnacentral:rRNA from 1 species